rnacentral:sRNA from 1 species
ACGAUUAUUACCGCCAUUUUCCAGAUAACGGCGUAGCUUCCUGCUUCGGAAGAAACCCGCCUUGAAGGCGGGUUCU